AUUGAACGCUGGCGGCAGGCCUAACACAUGCAAGUCGAGCGGAACGGCGGACGGGGGAGUAAUGCCUAGGAAUCUGCCUGUGGGUAGGGGAUACCGUCCGGAAAGGGGCGCUAAUACCGCAUACUAGCAGAUGAGUCUAGGUCGGAUUAGCUGGUUGGUGGGGUAAAGGCUUACCAAGGCGACGAUCCGUAACUGGUCUGAGAGGAUGAUCAGUCACACUGGAACUGAGACACGGUCCAGACUCCUACGGGAGGCAGCAGUGGGGAAUAUUGGACAAUGGGCGAAAGCCUGAUCCAGCCAUGCCGCGUGUGUGAAGAAGGUCUUCGGAUUGUAAAGCACUUUAAGUUGGGAGGCGUUACCAACAGAAUAAGCACCGGCUAACUUCGUGCCAGCAGCCGCGGUAAUAC
rnacentral:rRNA from 1 species